CAACAGGUGGAGCCUGCGGUUUAAUCGGACUCAACGCCGGGAAACUCACCAGAUAAGACAGCGGAAUGAUAGCCGGGCUGAAGACUCUGCUUGACUAGCUGAGAGGAGGUGCAUGGCCGUCGUCAGUUCGUACUGUGAAGCAUCCUGUUAAGUCAGGCAACGAGCGAGACCCACGCCAACAGUUGCCAGCAUGUCCUCCGGGAUGGUGGGGACGACUGUUGGGACCGCCUCUGCUAAAGAGGAGGAAGGAAUGGGCAACGGUAGGUCAGCAUGCCCCGAAUUAUCCGGGCUACACGCGGGCUACAAUGGUCAGGACAAUGGGCAUCAACACCGAAAGGUGAAGGCAAUCUCUUAAACCUGUCCUUAGUUCGGAUUGUGGGCUGCAACUCGCCCACAUGAAGCUGGAAUCUGUAGUAAUCGCGUCUCAAAAUGGCGCGGUGAAUAUGUCCCUGCUCCUU
rnacentral:rRNA from 1 species